UAGAGUUCAGAAGGGGCAGAUGGAAUUAGUGGUGUAGGGGUAAAAUCCGUAGAUAUCACUAGGAAUAUCAAAAGCGAAGGCGAUCUGCUGGGAUGAUACUGACGCUGAGGCACGAAAGCGUGGGGGGCAAACAGGAUUAGAUACCCUGGUAGUCCACGCCCUAAACGAUGAAUGCUAGUCGUCGGGGAGCUCGUCUCUUCGGUGAUGCACUUAACAGAUUAAGCAUUCCGCCUGGGGAGUACGGUCGCAAGAUUAAAACUCAAAGGAAUAGACGGGGACCCGCACAAGUGGUGGAGCAUGUGGUUUAAUUCGAAGAUACACGAAGAACCUUACCUGGCCUUGACAUGGUAGGAACCCUUAAGAGAUUAGGGGGUGCUAGCUUGCUAGAACCUACACACAGGUGCUGCACGGCUGUCGUCAGCUCGUGUCGUGAGAUGUUGGGUUAAGUCCCGCAACGAGCGCAACCCUCGUCUUUAGUUGCUAACAGUUUGGCUGAGCACUCUAAAGAGACUGCCUUCGUAAGGAGGAGGAAGGUGAGGACGACGUCAAGUCAUCAUGGCCCUUACGGCCAGGGCUACACACGUGCUACAAUGGGGCGUACAAAGAGCUGCAAUACCGCGAGGUGGAGCCAAUCUCUUAAAGCGUCUCUCAGUUCGGAUUGUUCUCUGCAACUCGAGAACAUGAAGCUGGAAUCACUAGUAGUCGUAGAUCAGCUAUGCUACGGUGAAUACGUUCCCGGGUCUUGUACUCACCGCCCGUCACACCAUG
rnacentral:rRNA from 1 species